rnacentral:rRNA from 1 species
GCAUAACGCGAAGAACCUUACCAGGCCUUGACAUGCAGAGAACUUUCCAGAGAUGGAUUGGUGCCUUCGGGAACUCUGACACAGGUGCUGCAUGGCUGUCGUCAGCUUGUGUCGUGAGAUGUUGGGUUAAGUCCCGUAACGAGCGCAACCCUUGUCCUUAGUUACCAGCACGUUAUGGUGGGCACUCUAAGGAGACUGCCGGUGACAAACCGGAGGAAGGUGGGGAUGACGUCAAGUCAUCAUGGCCCUUAGGCCUGGGCUACACACGUGCUACAAUGGUCGGUACAGAGGGUUGCCAAGCCGCGAGGUGGAGCUAAUCUCACAAAACCGAUCGUAGUCCGGAUCGCAGUCUGCAACUCGACUGCGUGAAGUCGGAAUCGCUAGUAAUCGCGAAUCAGAAUGUCGCGGUGAAUACG